UUGCAUUUGAAGCCCAUGAGGAUGAGAACCUCCGGGGGCGGGGAGGUUCGACUCGAGCGAAGCGAGAGAACGUUGCGCCAGCAACGGCCCGCAG
rnacentral:sRNA from 2 species